UGAACGCUGGCGGCAGGCCUAACACAUGCAAGUCGAACGGUAACAGGAAGAAGCUUGCUUCUUUGCUGACGAGUGGCGGACGGGUGAGUAAUGUCUGGGAAACUGCCUGAUGGAGGGGGAUAACUACUGGAAACGGUAGCUAAUACCGCAUAACGUCGCAAGACCAAAGAGGGGGACCUUCGGGCCUCUUGCCAUCGGAUGUGCCCAGAUGGGAUUAGCUAGUAGGUGGGGUAACGGCUCACCUAGGCGACGAUCCCUAGCUGGUCUGAGAGGAUGACCAGCCACACUGGAACUGAGACACGGUCCAGACUCCUACGGGAGGCAGCAGUGGGGAAUAUUGCACAAUGGGCGCAAGCCUGAUGCAGCCAUGCCGCGUGUAUGAAGAAGGCCUUCGGGUUGUAAAGUACUUUCAGCGGGGAGGAAGGGAGUAAAGUUAAUACCUUUGCUCAUUGACGUUACCCGCAGAAGAAGCACCGGCUAACUCCGUGCCAGCAGCCGCGGUAAUACGGAGGGUGCAAGCGUUAAUCGGAAUUACUGGGCGUAAAGCGCACGCAGGCGGUUUGUUAAGUCAGAUGUGAAAUCCCCGGGCUCAACCUGGGAACUGCAUCUGAUACUGGCAAGCUUGAGUCUCGUAGAGGGGGGUAGAAUUCCAGGUGUAGCGGUGAAAUGCGUAGAGAUCUGGAGGAAUACCGGUGGCGAAGGCGGCCCCCUGGACGAAGACUGACGCUCAGGUGCGAAAGCGUGGGGAGCAAACGGGAUUAGAUACCCUGGUAGUCCACGCCGUAAACGAUGUCGACUUGGAGGUUGUGCCCUUGAGGCGUGGCUUCCGGAGCUAACGCGUUAAGUCGACCGCCUGGGGAGUACGGCCGCAAGGUUAAAACUCAAAUGAAUUGACGGGGGCCCGCACAAGCGGUGGAGCAUGUGGUUUAAUUCGAUGCAACGCGAAGAACCUUACCUGGUCUUGACAUCCACGGAAGUUUUCAGAGAUGAGAAUGUGCCUUCGGGAACCGUGAGACAGGUGCUGCAUGGCUGUCGUCAGCUCGUGUUGUGAAAUGUUGGGUUAAGUCCCGCAACGAGCGCAACCCUUAUCCUUUGUUGCCAGCGGUCCGGCCGGGAACUCAAAGGAGACUGCCAGUGAUAAACUGGAGGAAGGUGGGGAUGACGUCAAGUCAUCAUGGCCCUUACGACCAGGGCUACACACGUGCUACAAUGGCGCAUACAAAGAGAAGCGACCUCGCGAGAGCAAGCGGACCUCAUAAAGUGCGUCGUAGUCCGGAUUGGAGUCUGCAACUCGACUCCAUGAAGUCGGAAUCGCUAGUAAUCGUGGAUCAGAAUGCCACGGUGAAUACGUUCCCGGGCCUUGUACACACCGCCCGUCACACCAUGGGAGUGGGUUGCAAAAGAAGUAGGUAGCUUAACCUUCGGGAGGGCGCUUACCACUUUGUGAUUCAUGACUGG
rnacentral:rRNA from 1 species